GAAGGAAUGUACUAUAGUAACUGCUUCAGGCUGAUGAGGAAAGGACAGAGGCAGACUUGAUACAUAAUCUGCAGAAACACACCAAGGGAAGGUCAAAUGACAUGAAGCUAUACCUGAGGAACAGAGGCAGAUAAAUGUUAUAACAACAAUUUCGACAAGUUAAAAACAGACGAAAGGGUGCAAUGUCAGCAGUCAAAGGCACCAAGGCAACAUAGGGGGCUCAGACAGUUAAAUGGCUUUGAAGAAUAAGUACACCUUCCAGAGGAAGAAUACAGCCAACUCAGAAGAGUGAUGAAAUCCUUCAAAAUCUAUAGGCAAAGACAUUCAAGGUGCAGUGAUGGAAACGGAAAGGAGAAAGGACUCUUAAGGUACAGACACAACUGCAGACACCUGGGUACGGUUAUCUAACAGCUGUCCUGCUGUUCAUGCUGUCAACUUCCCAAAGGCUCUGGGAUUAGCGCUGCCAUCAGAAGAACCCAUAAAUGAUAAGUGAUGGGAGUCUAGCUGCUCUUACUCUCUUCUCCACUCAUUUUUGUCUAAUGAUGUGCAAAUCUCACAGAAGUUCUGAGAGCUACAGAAGACUUGAGAGGACAUCAAAUGCAACUUCCUCCAUUGAAAGAUGAGGAGGAAGAACUCCCCGUCUUCCAUUAAAUGGAAGAACUAGGACUAGAACUCAAGUUCCCUAAUGUUAAGUCUGCUGCUCCUUCUCUCCUCCUGUCCAAUCUUUAAAUCACCAUCCAAACUUAAUGUUUCAGGCAGGGCCUGUGCGUUCUAUUGUAAAAGGUCAUUCAUGCUAUUCAUAUUACAGUACUCUAUCAAACAGAAAAAAAAAAAUCCUCCGUCAGCACCUAACCACCACUGACAAAACUACAACUGGGCCUUCAAUGACACACAGCUAUCACUCAUCCUAAAGCACUGGGCUCCUUUUACAAAGGUAACUGUUACUAACUUCCAGCUGUCUCCUCAAGGCCCCACACUCUCAGCAGAUUUCAUCUCCUCCUUUACUGAAAAUAUCCAAGCCAUCAGGAACAAACUUUCUCAACUUCUUUCCCAUCCACUUGCAUAUUCACCUACAGCCACACAUAUCUCUUCCUCGUCUUCUCCUGUCCCAAUGGAAUAAACGUCCCAAUUCCCUUUUAUAACAACCCCUUUGAGUAUGCUUGUGCUCUAGAACUUGGCCCCCCUAUCUUUUCUGGAACUUUACUCCAUUAAUGAUUUCCUCUUCUACUUGUAGUCACUUCCUCACCACUAUUCUCAACCAAACUAUAAGCUCUAAUCACUAUCACACACAUACACACAACUCCUCGCAAACGUGUACACACCCGCGUGUAUCUGCUCGCUCUCCUGCCUGUGCUCUCUCGCUGUCUCUCCAUUUGAUGCCCCCACUUCUUAACUCCUCCUCAUUCCUCACUGGUGACAAUCCAGUGUUAGGCUUUAGAGGUCUUCUGACUACCCACUGAAUACCUAACUGUCAGAUCCAAUCUCCUAUAUUCAAUCUUCACUCUACCGGACCCUUCUGUGCCCUGAUAGGACCUGACAGCUUUUCCCUAUUUACUCUCUGGGCAGCGUGGCAAGUUGCUCACCUGAGGUUUAGACACCCUGUCUGUAAAAGACAAUAACAUAAUUAUUUCACAGGAGAUUGUUGUAAGAAUUGUAUAAUAUAUAAAAACAAACAAACAAAAAGCACCGGGUACUCAAUGUUGUCACUUUUGUUUUCAGAUUUUCCUCUUCUUUUGUCUGCUCAGUCUUUGAUCCUUUGGCCAUCCCUGUGGAGUUUCAACGACAUUCAUGGCUACCACGAUCAAUCCUAGUCACUCUUCAAUAAUUGUCUCCAGCCCUCACUUCUCUCCUGGGGCUCAGGCCUCUUAAGAUCAAAAGAAUGCCCCACAGACACCCCAACUCCACUUCAACUUGAACUCACAAUUGUCCCUAAACUUCUUAUGUUUUCCAUCCUUACUAAUGACACCUUCAGAUGUAAGUCAUCAAAACCAGAAGAAUCAAGAAUCAUCUUUUUCCUUCCUCUUACUCCCUUCCUACUUUCCAUCUAAUCAAUAACUAAUUAUUUCUCCUAAUCAUUUCUUCAAUCCAGUCUCGCCUUUCCUUUCUCACCUUCAUCACCUUAGUUUGGGUCCUCAUGAUGUCUGCCUGGAUUAUGAUGGUAGCCACUAAAGUGCUCCCUGCUUUCUUUUCACAUAUCUGAAAACAGUGAUUGCAACACUUAUUUUACCUUUAAUGACUCCACAAUGCUGUCAGGAUAAAGUUCACACUUUCAGAAAUGAAAUGCAUGGCCCUAGACAUGGGUUUGACCAAGAACCCAAGCCAGUAGGCACCUCCAGCCUCUUCUCCCCUCUGUACCACCAUCGCUUGGCUCCAUUCACUCCUAGUCCAUGUUCCACAUUCACUGAGCCCUUUGGGGCUCUGAACCUGGGCUGUUUCCUCAGUCUGUCCUUUCUCCAUCUCGGCCUGGUAAAUGAUCUCAGCCUCUCAAAAUUCAGCACCAAAAUCCCCUCCUUCAGGAAUUCCUUCCUCACAAACAAGAAAGAACAAAACACUCCCUUCUAUGUGCCCUACUCUCUAUCAUUAUCGUCACAAUAUAUUGCUAUAAAGUGCCUUAAGUUAUAAAAAAGUUAAGUUCCAGUUAGUGGUUUAUGAGUCUAUCUUCAGAGGUUAGGCACCAUUUCAUACUCACAUUGCAUCCUCAGAACUUAACAAAAUGACCAGUACACA
rnacentral:lncRNA from 1 species